AUCUAUAACUUUUACUGACCUCUGUAUUACAACAGCAUCAACAAGUGUUUGGCACAGCCAAGUUCUGAAGUCAUAUUUUCACAAUCCUGGUGAGAAAGCUUGUGUGAAAUAUUGUACAGCAGAGACCCAUCAGGAAAUCAGAAAUAUCUUGUUCUUUCACACAUCUGCCCCACAGUAACAGCUCCACAGGAAGAGAAACCUGAAGAAAUCCUUUUUUUAAACUGUACAAUAUAGUCACAACAUUGCUGUUUCCUGAAGUGAUAAAAGGCCAAGCUAAGUGGAAACAUGUCUCAGAUGAUGAAAUGGACACCAACCUGGCAUGCCGUCCUCUUCACCCAUAAUCCAUCUUAAUCCGAGUAUCCUCAGGUCAAGCAUCAUUCCAGAUGAGCUGUCAGGAAGAGACAGCAGCUGUCUUCAGUGUAACAGUGCAGCAACAAGCAAGCACAGAAAGCAGUUUGGCUCUCAGGGUCCUCUCAUCAGAAAGAUUUCAUACCCAUCACCUUCCUGUGUCUACUGCACAGUGUCAACUUACCCUCAUUUCUAUGAUAAUUGAACACUGGUUGUGCCAAAUGCACUGGCGGAAAGAGCAACAGAGACAUUUAAUAUGGCUAUAGUGGGAUUUGAACAGGGCCUUUCUUGUGCCUUUCUUCCCCUCCUCUGAAUGACUGAGCCCCACAGGCAAUGUAAAUUUAUGAUAUUGUGAGUUUGGUGAGUGAAUCCUGGACCCUGUAUUGCUAUUGCUCAACUCAGUUUGGAACAUGAAACACACAGAGGCUGUGCAGAGAGGCCAAGGAAAAAAGGUCAACCCAAGGUUGGCAUUGAUCAUAAAUUGGUUCAGUGGGAGGUAACAACACAUGAUGUGAGUUACCUGACCUGCUGUUUUUAAUAAAGAGACCGGCCCUCAUUUACCCAGACUCAGUAGUACAAGGCAUGUGUAUUGUAUCAUAUUGGCUACUUUGAAAAUCAUAUUUCUGUGCAGAUGGUAAUAUUUUUGUCUCUUUUUUUUCUCUCUCUCUCUCUCCCUGUAAGUGGUGAACCGAUACCAAAAAAAAGGGAGGCUUUCUCAUUGACAGCUGCAAUAAACAACAUCUUUGCCAAGUUUUUGGUAUCGCUCUCCAAUCUACAGUAUUUAGAAAUGUUUUGCAAGAACUAGAAUGAUUGUGUAUUAUCUUUGUCUACUUGCCAAGUUUUGACCUCUUUAUCACACUUGGUCAUGAUCUGCUGGGAGAGAUAAUGGAAUUAUCCCUAUUUAAAAAAUGCAUCCUUGCCAGUCACAUCAUCACAUCGUUCAGCAAUUACAUAAAACACUGUUGAACCCACUCCUCUAGUAAAAUAAUUAAUUAAUGACAGAGAUGGAAAGUAACAAAGUACAUUUACUCAGGUUACUGUAUGCAAGUACAAUUUUAUAGUACCUUAGACACUUCUCUGGUUCAACCUGACUGGUGGGGAGUCUUAUUCAACAACUGCCACUUCAUGUGAGGCAGAAGCUUGCCCACCCUAAGAACACCCAGGCAUAAGUAGAGCUUUUUGCUUUUUGUUUUUGAAUCCUCCCAUUUACUGUAUAGGCAGCAGUAGCUGCUAGUAAGCAUGAUACUCUAACACCACAUAUGAUUUACUAGUGUCACUGUUGUCAUCAAUACACAUUUAAAACAAUAGGCUCAAAGGUUGAACAGUGGUGUAGAUCUGUCUCACAGAGAUCAUUGUAAAUGUAUCAGUUUCAUAUCUGUGUCCAGAACACAUAGCUCAAGGUUAGAACCAGGGGAACGAUCAUGUGACCAAGUUAAUUAGAGGCAAGGUAAUGAAGUGUUCUUGAAACCAGCCUCUCCCACUUGUCCCAUCAUUUGUAUCCUUAGAUCGGUUACUGAAUCUAAUUUGCAGCUUCUCAUCUGACUGUGGGUUUAAUAGAAAACAAACUGUGAUGUUUUUGAGAUUGUAAAUGAGGUCAUGUAGACUGAAUUUAUAUUACUAUACUACUGAAUUACUGAAGUGAAUCAUCCAGUGGAGUACAAAAAUGCAGAUACGGAGCAAUCAAUAAUAUUUCAAUAAACACGUAGCUCACAGUAUAUAUACAGAUUACCACUCUAUAACUACAGUAUAUAGAGUGGUAAUCUGAAGUAUGCAGUCUGUGACCUCAU